rnacentral:rRNA from 1 species
CCUGGUUGAUCCUGCCAGUAGUCAUAUGCUUGUCUCAAAGAUUAAGCCAUGCAUGUCUAAGUACAGGCUUUGGUACAGCGAAACCGCGAAUGGCUCAUUAAAUCAGCUAUAAUUUAUUAGAUUGUUCUUUACUUGGAUAACUGUGGGAAUUCUAGAGCUAAUACAUGCACAAAAGCUCCGACCUUCGGGAAGGAGUGCAGUUAUUAGACCAAAACCAGCCGAGCUUCGGCUCGAACUGUUUGGUGACUCUGGAUAACGAUGAGCGGAUCGCAUGGCCUUGAGCCGGCGACGUAUCUUUCAAGUGUCUGACCUAUCAACUGACGAUGGUACGCGAUAUGCCUACCAUGGUGAUAACGGGUAACGGAGAAUAAGGGUUCGACUCCGGAGAGGGAGCCUGAGAAAUGGCUACCACAUCCAAGGAUGGCAGCAGGCGCGCAAAUUACCCACUCUCAGUACGAGGAGGUAGUGACGAAAAAUAACAAUGCGGGACUCAUCAGAGGCCUCGCAAUUGGAAUGAGCGCACUUUAAAUCGUUCGACGAGGAUCUAUUGGAGGGCAAGUCUGGUGCCAGCAGCCGCGGUAAUUCCAGCUCCAAUAGCGUAUAUUAAAGUUGUUGCAGUUAAAAAGCUCGUAGUUGGAUCUGGGGUUCGGGUCGGCGGUUUGCCGCUUCGGCGGCUACUGCCGUGCUCGACUCUUACUAGCCGGUGCGUCUUGCGGUGCUCUUCAUCGAGUGCCGUAGGAGCCUGGCAUGUUUACUUUGAAAAAAUUAGAGUGCUCAAAGCAGGCGAUUCCGCCUGAAUAGUGUUGCAUGGAAUAAUGGAAUAGGACCUCGGUUCUAUUUUGUUGGUUUUCGGAACUUGAGGUAAUGAUUAAGAGGGACGGUCGGGGGCAUUCGUAUUUCGGUGUUAGAGGUGAAAUUCUUGGAUCGCUGAAAGACGGACAAAUGCGAAAGCAUCUGCCAAGAACGUCUCCAUUAAUCAAGAACGAAAGUCAGAGGUUCGAAGACGAUCAGACACCGUCCUAGUUCUGACCAUAAACGAUGCCAACUAGCGAUCCACAGUGGUUGCUAUAAACGGACUCUGCGAGCAGCUUCCGGGAAACCAAAGUGUUUGGGUUCCGGGGGAAGUAUGGUUGCAAAGCUGAAACUUAAAGGAAUUGACGGAAGGGCACCACCAGGAGUGGAGCCUGCGGCUUAAUUUGACUCGACACGGGGAAACUCACCCGGUCCGGACACUGUAAGGAUUGACAGAUCGAGAGCUCUUUCUUGAUUCGGUGGAUGGUGGUGCAUGGCCGUUCUUAGUUGGUGGAGUGAUUUGUCUGGUUAAUUCCGAUAACGAACGAGACUCUAGCCUGCUAACUAGUUGCGCCGUGUUCAUACGCGGCUGUAGACUUCUUAGAGGGACA